UACGAAGGUGGCAAGCGUUGUUCGGAUUUACUGGGCGUACAGGGCGCGUAGGCGGUUGGAUAAGCCCUCCGUGAAAUCUCCAGGCUUAACCUGGAAAGUGCAGAGGGGACUGUUCAGCUAGAGGAUGGGAGAGGAGCGCGGAAUUCCCGGUGUAGCGGUGAGAUGCGUAGAGAUCGGGAGGAAGGCCGGUGGCGAAGGCGGCGCUCUGGAACAUUUCUGACGCUGAGGCUCGAAAGCGUGGGGAGCAAACAGG
rnacentral:rRNA from 1 species